rnacentral:rRNA from 1 species
GAUGAACGCUGGCGGCGUGCCUAAUACAUGCAAGUCGAGCGAACGGACGAGAAGCUUGCUUCUCUGAUGUUAGCGGCGGACGGGUGAGUAACACGUGGAUAACCUACCUAUAAGACUGGGAUAACUUCGGGAAACCGUAGCUAAUACCGGAUAAUAUUUUGAACCGCAUGGUUCAAAAGUGAAAGACGGUCUUGCUGUCACUUAUAGAUGGAUCCGCGCUGCAUUAGCUAGUUGGUAAGGUAACGGUUUACCAAGGCAACGAUGCAUAGCCGACCUGAGAGGGUGAUCGGCCACACUGGAACUGAGACACGGUCCAGACUCCUACGGGGGGCAGCAGUAGGGAAUCUUCCGCAAUGGGCGAAAGCCUGACGGAGCAACGCCGCGUGAGUGAUGAAGGUCUUCGGAUCGUAAAACUCUGUUAUUAGGGAAGAACAUAUGUGUAAGUAACUGUGCACAUCUAGACGGUACCUAAUCAGAAAGCCACGGCUAACUACGUG